AUUGAACGCUGGCGGCAUGCCUUACACAUGCAAGUCGAACGCGAAAGCGGGGGCAACCCUGCAAGUAGAGUGGCGAACGGGCGAGUAACACAUCGGAACGUACCCAGGAGUGGGGGACAACCUCGAGAAAUCGAGGCUAAUACCGCAUACGUCCUGAGGGAGAAAGCGGGGGAUCGCAAGACCUCGCGCUCAUGGAGCGGCCGAUGUCCGAUUAGCUAGUUGGCGGGGUAAGAGCCCACCAAGGCGACGAUCGGUAGCUGGUUUGAGAGAACGACCAGCCACACUGGGACUGAGACACGGCCCAGACUCCUACGGGAGGCAGCAGUGGGGAAUUUUGGACAAUGGGGGCAACCCUGAUCCAGCCAUGCCGCGUGAGUGAAGAAGGCCUUCGGGUUGUAAAGCUCUUUCGGCCGGAACGAAAUCGGGUACGUGAAUAACGGAUCUGGAUGACGGUACUGGAAGAAGAAGCACCGGCUAACUACGUGCCAGCCGCCGCAGUAA
rnacentral:rRNA from 1 species